rnacentral:lncRNA from 1 species
GAGGAGGGGGAGGAGGAGGAGGAGGAGGAGGAGAGAAGCAGCUGUGGAGGUACAAGGCCCUAAGCUUAAUGACAGCUGAUGCUUGGCACCUUUCUAACCUUUCCUUAUCUCCAGAGGAGGAUGCUGAGCUCUGUGUGGACCCACUUCCUGUGGGGCAGUUGUAAGAGUGCCUGUUGAGAUAGAAGCUCCCAUGGGUAGAAGGACAUUAGUGAUGGUCUGAAUAAGUGUUGCUUUGAUAGUCCAUCUCAAUUUUCACAUACUCAGGAGGCUGAGGCAGAAGCAUCAUAAGUGCAAAGCCUGCCUGGAUUAGAGUUAGUUCAAGACCAGUCUGAGUGAUUUAGAAAAGUUAUGCCUCAAAAUAGAAAGUACAAGGGUCUGAGGGUCAGGGUGGAGCCCACAUUUAGAAUGUGCAAAGCCCCAGAUUUGAUCCCUAGUGCUGUUAAAACAAACAAGCAGCCAAGCAAAAUAAGGACUGAACCCCUACUCUGUGGCCUGCACCUCUUGGCUCGGCUUUACUUUCUGGCUCAAGAUGACAACCAAUCCUCAGAAACACAUUCACCCUUCCCCCACACUGCCGCUGAUGCCUGUAAAUGGGUGGCCAGAGUCUGGACUGUUCCUAGUGCUGAUCUUCUCCUGGAGCAGUGGAGACCUGAAGGCUCACAUCCACCUUCUCUCAGUCAUUCAGACAUCUCACACCCAAGUGCACAGCUCAAAGAAGAGCCUUGUAAAAAGCAGCUUUUCUAAUGGGUCCAGGACCAGGAACUGAAAUUCAUCUCAGGACAUACAAAACCUCCUUUUCCUUCUAGGUUCUUCUGGCCCUGUUAAUUCCUCAAAGGUACGCACUGUACACUGGUUUCAUGUGCAAGCUCUUGGCCCAGAGAGAGAAAAUGUGCCUUAGUUCCAUGCUGUAGAGACACGAAGAGUGUUCUACCACAUUCCCAUGGAAAUGGCCAGUGCCAUAAUGAGAAAAUGGGAAAAGCAGGGAUCGAUGGAGGAACUAAAGGCGUGGCCCAGGCACAUCAGAAAAUUUAAAACCUUGGAAGCGCACAAAGGAAGAAAAUACUUUUUAGAGACCCAGCAUCAAGAAUUCCCUUUGACUUCUCAUCUCAGACCAGGUGAAGACAGUGAUGACGGUCCUAACCAGGAACAGAAGAGAGGACAUGCCAGGCAUGGUGGGCACAGCUGCCGCAGCCGGCAGGCAAAGACAAGGUUUGAAAACCCUUGGCCAUGCUGUGCUUAGAGGCAGCUUUGAUGCUUUGCUUUUAUUUACUUUUCUGUCAGUCGAACUUUUUGGAUAUGUAGUUUGCCUUCUGACAUUAACUUAGGGGAGUCAAAAUGUCACUUUUGGUUUAAAUAUUGUGUCUGGCCCCUUCUUCUCACCCUGAUGUUCCUAUUACAAGUACUUACACAUAGGUGUUCCGCAGUUCUUAAAUACCGUGGCCCAGGUUUUCAUCCGCAUCCCCUUUCCUUUUGGAAGGCUUGUAGUCACAAGCUAAUGAGACCGUCACAGUCGUUGUUUGGUUCAGCGUUUUUACUCAUUGGUUGGGUCAGAAUAACUUACCAACUGCUUAUAUGCUGUGUUGGAAACCCAGCAGAGAUGGAGAACGACCCUGAGAGUCCUCUCUACCAGAAGAGGCUUGCUGUCACCACACCGCAAAUUCUUCCAAGCAGUUAUUGAAAUUCAUGAUGCUACCCCCAUUUCUUUGACAGAAGACGCGUAUUCUCAAUUGCUGACAUUAAUGGAACCUUUUUUUUCUUCCUAAAUGUGGUGGAAAAUGUCACUUUUCAAAGAAGGGAAAGAUGCCAUCAAAUUUAAGUGUUUGGAAUCUCUGUUGAACCAUUGGCAAGCUCUGUGACAAUGGUCUGAAUUCUCCCAUUCCCCGGGCCUGGGAAAAAGAAAAAAAAGUUUAGUGUUUAGAUUUUUAAAGAUUAUUGGGAUUUUUGAACUCUAACCGAAUGCAUUUAUAUUAUGAGAUGGUCAUGGGCCAGGAUCGGAGGAGCAUCAUGGUUUAGAUGGAAAAUUUCCCCUCUAAUAAGCUCGCCCAUGUGUUUGAACACUUGUUUACCAGCUGAUGGUGCUGUUUGGGGAGCUUGUGGACCCUUUGGGAAGUAGAGCCUUGUUGGAGGAAGUGGAUCUCUGGGAUGGGAGAGUGGGGGGCCUUGAGGUUCAUAGCCCACGCCCACUUCCUGAUUCAUCUGUACCUCUGGUUUACUGAGAUAUAAGUAAGAAGCCUCAGUGUUCCCAUGAUCAUGGGGGCUAGCCUGCUACCAGGAUGGAUGAGGGCUAGCCUGCUACCAGGAUGGAUGUACCCCAUCCACCUAUGAACCAAAAUAAACUCAUUCCUUUAAAAGAAUGGUUCUAAUCCAAUGCCUGAGUGUAAGCAAAUUGGAAGCUAAUUUAAUGUUUGUAUGUAUGUAUGUAUGUAUGUAUGUAUGUAUGUAUGUGUGCAUGUGUGUGUUCUGGGGAUUAAACCCAGGGCUUUGCACAUGCAUCUUGCUAUUAGCGUACACCUCCAGCCCAGAAAAGGAGCCAAUUCUGCAUAGAAGCCCAGCUCGGAAUGGGAGGAGGCAGACUGUACGGAAGCAGGGAGGCAAACACAGAGAGGGCCAAGGCAUCUUUUAAAAAGAAAGGUUAGAUGUUCAAAUGGAAGAAAUCAAAGAGAGACUCAAGGGAGGGUGUCUAUAGCAGAAUAUGCCACUCAAAUCACAGCUGCCUGAGACCAGACUAUCACCCCUCAAAAUAUGCCAGGGAAGAGACACAAUAAGGCACUCAAAAUAUGUCUCUUUGGUUGGGGGGACUAUUUUGAGAACUAGCAGACACAGAAUGGAUGUGUCUUCUGGUGUUCAGGUACAAAAGUCCAAAAGUAUAGGUCCAAGGACAAAAGAAGUGCUUAUAUUCUGCUUUUGUGGGAAAUAUCCAGUGUCCACUAAAGUGGGCAUGUCCAUGCCCACUCCUGUUGGCUGUGAGUGGAGUUCUCACUGGGCUGCUCUGUGAUAAGUAGCAGACACCUGCCACCAAGUUGUUUGUCCCAUGACUUUCUAUCUGCUCCCUCAGUUGCAAACUUAAAAAGAGGAAAUAUUUAUAUUGGAUCAUGGUUCCAAGGUUGCUGUUAUUGUCUAUUAUUCUGUUUCCUGCCCCUGAAUCACAAGAAAAAUAAUUUAGAAAUGGCUAUUUCCCUUAGAUAAGAAACGACUUAUCAUUUGCCCAAUGUCUCCUUUUUCUCACUUACCUACUCCCUCUCUCUGACA